GAGAGAGAGAGAGAGAUGGCUAUAAACUAACAUAGGGAAGAGAGAGAGAGAGAGAGAUAUGGCUAUAAACUAACAUAGAGAGAGAGAGGUGGCUGUAAACAGACGAUGGGAAGAGAGAGAGAGAGAGGUGGCUAUAAUCAGACAUAGGGAAGAGAGAGAGAGAGGUGGCUAUAAUCAGACAUAGGGAAGAGAGAGAGAGAUAUGGCUAUAAACUAACAUAGGGAAAAGAGAGAGAGAGGUGGCUGUAAACAGACGAUGGGAAGAGAGAGAGAGAGAUGGCUAUAAACAGACAUAGGGAAGAGAGAGAGAGAGAGAGAUGGCUAUAAACAGACUCAGGGAAGAGAGAGAGAUAGCGAGAUGGCUAUAAACAGACUCAGGGAAGAGAGAGAGAUAGCAAGAUGGCUAUAAACAGACUCAGGGAAGAAGAGAGAUAGCGGUGUCUGUCUGGGAAUAAGUGAUACCUUGCUGAGAUCCCACCUUCAAAUACACACCCCCUUACCUUUCCUAAACAGUGGAUUUGCCUAUUUGCUCAUACAAUUUCCAGUAUUACAAGCUUUUUGGCCUGGAGAAAAUCAAUGCCAUGCAUCUAAAUAUAGCCCAUUCACUGGUGGACUU
ensembl:lncRNA